rnacentral:rRNA from 1 species
UUUCCCCUUUUUCUCUCCUCAAACAUCUAACCGCCUCUCACUUUCUCUCCCCACUCUUUUUUUUGUGGUUUUUUUUUUUUGGGUUCCCGGGGAAAAUUUUUUGGACUGACGCAGUGCUCAGGUUUUGGACGUUGCGUCGGAAAGUUUCAUGAACCUUAUCACUUAGAGGAAGGAGAAGUCGUAACAAGGUUUCCGUAGGUGAACCUGCGGAAGGAUCAUUC